UAGGGUUUGAUCCUGGCUCAGGAUGAACGCUGGCGGCGUGCCUAAUACAUGCAAGUCGAGCGAACGGACGAGAAGCUUGCUUCUCUGAUGUUAGCGGCGGACGGGUGAGUAACACGUGGAUAACCUACCUAUAAGACUGGGAUAACUUCGGGAAACCGGAGCUAAUACCGGAUAAUAUUUUGAACCGCAUGGUUCAAAAGUGAAAGACGGUCUUGCUGUCACUUAUAGAUGGAUCCGCGCUGCAUUAGCUAGUUGGUAAGGUAACGGCUUACCAAGGCAACGAUGCAUAGCCGACCUGAGAGGGUGAUCGGCCACACUGGAACUGAGACACGGUCCAGACUCCUACGGGAGGCAGCAGUAGGGAAUCUUCCGCAAUGGGCGAAAGCCUGACGGAGCAACGCCGCGUGAGUGAUGAAGGUCUUCGGAUCGUAAAACUCUGUUAUUAGGGAAGAACAUAUGUGUAAGUAACUGUGCACAUCUUGACGGUACCUAAUCAGAAAGCCACGGCUAACUACGUGCCAGCAGCCGCGGUAAUACGUAGGUGGCAAGCGUUAUCCGGAAUUAUUGGGCGUAAAGCGCGCGUAGGCGGUUUUUUAAGUCUGAUGUGAAAGCCCACGGCUCAACCGUGGAGGGUCAUUGGAAACUGGAAAACUUGAGUGCAGAAGAGGAAAGUGGAAUUCCAUGUGUAGCGGUGAAAUGCGCAGAGAUAUGGAGGAACACCAGUGGCGAAGGCGACUUUCUGGUCUGUAACUGACGCUGAUGUGC
rnacentral:rRNA from 1 species